ACAUUGGUUUCAGAUUUGCUGAAAUAAUGUGAUGUAUUUAGACAAGGGCAAAAAUUAAAUGUGUUUUUAUCUAUCAGUCUAUUAAUUCCAUUCAGAAAGUGUUCUGUAGAGUCUUAAUCACUCAUUUAGAGUCAAGUGUUUCUACUGGCUGAGAUUGGUCCUUAAAUUUCUGUUUCUCUCCCUGAAAGACAGUUAGGAUAAAGGAAUCUUUGGGAUCCUUUGACACCAUGAGGAAUUAAAGUGUAUAUUACAGUUAUCUUUUUCAUUUAAAUGUGAGUAUACAUCUCUUUUUCUCAACCUACUUGAAAAAAAACAAAAUGGCAUUUCUGUUUUCAUUAACCCUUUUACCUAAGUCUCUUAAAGCAAUUUUGUUUCCUUUGUUCCUGCUACAGAGGCUGAGUUCAGGUGUUCACCGGAGUGCAUUAUUGCUAGAAAAUGAACUCAAAUUUAAAAGAGUAUUAUUGAUGAUCCUUUUAAAA
rnacentral:lncRNA from 1 species